UUGACCUCAAAUCAGGUAGGAUUACCCGCUGAACUUAAGCAUAUCAAUAAGCGGAGGAAAAGAAACUAACAAGGAUUCCCCUAGUAACUGCGAGUGAAGCGGGAAAAGCUCAAAUUUAAAAUCUGGCAGUCUUUGAUUGUCCGAGUUGUAAUCUAGAGAAGUGAUGCCCGCGCUGGACCGUGUACAAGUCUCCUGGAAUGGAGCGUCAUAGAGGGUGAGAAUCCCGUCUCUGACACGGACUACCAGGGCUUUGUGGUACGCUCUCAAAGAGUCGAGUUGUUUGGGAAUGCAGCUCUAAAUGGGUGGUAAAUUCCAUCUAAAGCUAAAUAUUGGCGAGAGACCGAUAGCGAACAAGUACCGUGAGGGAAAGAUGAAAAGAACUUUGGAAAGAGAGUUAAACAGUACGUGAAAUUGCUGAAAGGGAAACGCUUGAAGUCAGUCACGUUGGCUAGGAAUCAGCCUCACUUCUGUGUGGUGUACUUUCUGGUUGAUGGGUCAGCAUCAAUUUUGACCACUGGAAAAAGACUUGGGGAAUGUGGCAGCUCCGGCUGUGUUAUAGCCCCUUGUCACAUACAGUGGUUGGGAUUGAGGAACUCAGCACGCCGCA
rnacentral:rRNA from 1 species